AGAGUUGAUCCUGGCUUAGGAUGAACGCUAGCUACAGGCCUAACACAUGCAAGUCGAGGGGCAGCAGAUUGAAAGCUUGCUUUGAUGCUGGCGACCGGCGAAUGGGUGAGUCACGCGUGUCCAACCUGCCCUGUGCCCGGGGAUAGCCCUUGGAAAUGAGGAUUAACACCCGAUAGGUGGCGCUUCCGCAUGGCGGCGCCAUGAAACCGACACAGGAUGGGGACGCGUCGGAUUAGCUUGACGGCGGGGCGACGGCCCACCGUGGCGACGAUCCGCAGGGGUUCUGAGAGGAAGGUCCCCCACACUGGCACUGAGACACGGGCCAGACUCCUACGGGAGGCAGCAGUGAGGAAUAUUGGUCAAUGGCCGAGAGGCUGAACCAGCCAAAGUAGCGUGCAGGACGACGGCCCUACGGGUUGUAAACUGCUUUUGCGGGAGGAUAAAGGACACUACGUGUAGUGUUUUGCAGGUAUCCCGUGAAUAAGGACCGGCUAAUUCCGUGCCAGCCGCGGC
rnacentral:rRNA from 1 species